CUCUCCUGAGUUUUCACCCUUCCAAGUAAGUUUAUCUUCAUCAACCGAAUGAGACAACGAGAUGCACUUAAUUGCUGCAACGUCUUCUACAUUAAACACUCUGCUAGGAAGCCAACUGUCCCUCCAGAUCAAUAUGUUCAUACCAGAGCCCACAUUCCAACCCACCCCGUCCUCUAGAAGUUUUUUUGCUGCAAAAAUGCUUCUCCACACAUAUGAUGGGUAAGUUCCCAACUGAGCGUUCCAAAUGGUAGUAUUAGGAUAGUAUUUAGAUUUAAAAAUACGAACAACCAACGUAUCAGAUUUAGUUAAAAAAUGCCACUCUUGCUUCGCAAGCAAUGCAAUAUUAAACUUACAUAAAUCGCGAAACCCCAUACCCCCUCGAUCCUUCUGUUUACACAAAUCAUCCCAUCGACUCCAAUGCAUCCCUCUACGCUUUUCACUUU